UACGUAGGGUGCAAGCGUUGUCCGGAAUUAUUGGGCGUAAAGAGCUCGUAGGCGGUCUGUCGCGUCUGCUGUGAAAACCCGAGGCUCAACCUCGGGCCUGCAGUGGGUACGGGCAGACUAGAGUGCGGUAGGGGAGAUUGGAAUUCCUGGUGUAGCGGUGGAAUGCGCAGAUAUCAGGAGGAACACCGAUGGCGAAGGCAGAUCUCUGGGCCGUAACUGACGCUGAGGAGCGAAAAGCGUGGGGAGCGAACAGG
rnacentral:rRNA from 1 species